GACGAACCGUGCAAACGUUAUUCGGAAUCACUGGGCAUAAAGGGCGCGUAGGCGGCUCCAAAAGUCAGGGGUGAAAUCCGGCAGCUUAACUGUCGCAGUGCCUUUGAUACUGUGGAGCUAGAGGGAUGUAGGGGUCUGUGGAACUUCCGGUGGAGCGGUGAAAUGCGUUGAUAUCGGAAGGAACGCCGGUGGCGAAAGCGACGGACUGGACAUUUUCUGACGCUGAGGCGCGAAAGCCAGGGGAGCAAACGGG
rnacentral:rRNA from 1 species